GUGCUCACUUGGCUGCACACAAACUAAACUUUAAACAAUACAGGUUAGCAUGGCCCCUGCACAAGAAUGACAUACAUAUUUGUGAAACAAUCCAUAUUUUA
ensembl:snRNA U6 U6 spliceosomal RNA